rnacentral:rRNA from 1 species
GAUGAACGCUGGCGGCGUGCCUAAUACAUGCAAGUCGAGCGAACAGACGAGGGGCUUGCUCCUUUGACGUUAGCGGCGGACGGGAGAGUAACACGUGGAUAACCUACCUAUAAGACGGGGAUAACUUCGGGAAACCGGCGCUAAUACCAGAUGAUCUAUUGAACCGCAUUGUUCAAUAGUAAAAGACUGCUUUGCUGUCUGUUAUCGAUGGCUCAGCGCUGUAUUAGAUAGUUGGUAAGGUAACGGCCUACCAAGGCAACGAUGCGUAGCCGAGGUGAGAGGCGGAUCGCCGACACUGGAAGUGAGACAGGGACCCUGCUACUACGGCACGCAGCAGAAGGGAACGUGCGGCAAUGGGGGAGAGCCUUACGGAGUGACGCAGCGUGUGUGGUGAAGAUCUCGGGAGCGGAACAAUCUGUUAUGAGGGAAGAACAAAUUUGUAAAUAACUAUGCACAACGUGACGGUACCUAAUCAGAAAGCCACGGCUAACUACGUG